rnacentral:rRNA from 1 species
GAUGAACGCUGGCGGCGUGCUUAACACAUGCAAGUCGAACGAGAAGUGGAGACGGAAACCUUCGGGCGGAAGACUUUAUUUCGAGUGGCGGACGGGUGAGUAACGCGUGGGUAACCUGCCUCAUACAGGGGGAUAACAGUUGGAAACGACUGUUAAUACCGCAUAAGACCACAGCACCGCAUGGUGCGGGGGUAAAAACUCCGGUGGUAUGAGAUGGACCCGCGUUCGAUUAGCCAGUUGGCGGGGUAACGGCCCACCAAAGCGACGAUCGAUAGCCGAUCGGAGAGGAUGCCCGGCCACAUUGGGACUGAGCCCCGGCCCAAACACCUCCGGGAGGCAGCGGUGGGGAAUAUUGCACAAUGGGGAAACUCCUGAUCCGGCGACGCCGCGUGAGUAAGGAAUUUUUUCGUUAUGAAAACCCCUAGCACAAGGAAAAAAAAGGACGUGCCCUGAGUAAGACGCCCGGGCUAAGUCCGUC